UACGUAGGGUGCAAGCGUUUGUCCGGAAUUAUUGGGCGUAAAGAGCUCGUAGGCGGUUUGUUGCGUCGGCUGUGAAAUCCCGAGGCUCAACCUCGGGUCUGCAGUCGAUACGAGCAAACUAGAGUGUUGCAGGGGGAGACUGGAAUUCCUGGUGUAGCGGUGAAAUGCGCAGAUAUCAGGAGGAACACCGGUGGCGAAGGCGGGUCUCUGGGCAACAACUGACGCUGAGGAGCGAAAGCGUGGGGGAGCGAACAGG
rnacentral:rRNA from 1 species